rnacentral:tRNA from 1 species
GAGGAUGUAGCCAAGUGGAUUAACGCAGUGGAUUGUGAAUCCACCAUUCGCAGGUUCAAUUCCUGUUAUUUUCC